GUACAAGACUUGAGAAAGGUCAACAAGAGGAUAGAAGAUAUUCAUCCGACUGUUCCAAACCCUUACAAUUUGCUCAGUAACUGUUCAUCGAUGAGAAACAGGGGUAUGCUAAAGGGGUCCUAACACAAAGGUUGGGACCCUGAAAACGCCUUGUGGCCUACCUGUCUAAGAAAUUGGACCCUGUGGCCUCCGGCUGGCCACCGUGCCUAAGGAUGGUGGCUGCUAUUGCUGUCCUGAUCAAGGACACUGGAAAAUUGACUUUGGGACAGCCACUCACCAUCCUAACACCCCACGCAGUGGAGGCCUUGGUAAAGCAGCCCCCAGACCGCUGGCUCUCUAAUUCUCGCACCAAGCCUUGUUACUGGAUACAGAACGGGUUCAGUUUGGGCCCGUAGUCGCCCUCAAUCCUGCCACCUUGCUUCCUCUACCAGAGGAGGCAAAACAGCAUGACUGCCUACAAAUCCUCGCAGAAGUACAUGGAACCAGGCCGGACCUAUCGGACCAGCCUCUUCAGAAUGCUGACCACACAUGGUACACGGAUGACAACAGCUUCUUGGCAGAGGGAGAGUGAAAGGCUGGAGCUGCGGUCACUACGGAGGACAAAGUGAUUUGGGCGAAAGCCCU
rnacentral:lncRNA from 1 species